AUUGAACGCUGGCGGCAUGCCUUACACAUGCAAGUCGAACGGUAACAGGUCUUCGGAUGCUGACGAGUGGCGCACGGGUGAGUAAUACAUCGGAACGUGCCCGAUCGUGGGGGAAAACGAGGCGAAAGCUUUGCUAAUACCGCAUACGAUCUACGGAUGAAAGCGGGGGAUCUUCGGACCUCGCGCGGACGGAGCGGCCGAUGGCAGAUUAGGUAGUUGGUGGGAUAAAAGCUUACCAAGCCGACGAUCUGUAGCUGGUCUGAGAGGAUGAUCAGCCACACUGGGACUGAGACACGGCCCAGACUCCUACGGGAGGCAGCAGUGGGGAAUUUUGGACAAUAGGCGAAAGCCUGAUCCAGCCAUGCCGCGUGCAGGAUGAAGGCCUUCGGGUUGUAAACUGCUUUUGUACGGAACGAAAAGCCUCUUUCUAAUAAAGAGGGGUCAUGACGGUACCGUAAGAAUAAGCACCGGCUAACUACGUG
rnacentral:rRNA from 1 species